rnacentral:tRNA from 1 species
GCCUAUUUAGCUCAGUUGGAAGAGCACUUCACUUGUAAUGAAGGGGUCGUGAGUUCAAAUCUUACAAUAGGCA